rnacentral:rRNA from 1 species
GAUGAACGCUGGCGGCGUGCUUAACACAUGCAAGUCGAACGGAAAGGCCCAAGCUUGCUUGGGUCCUCGAGUGGCGAACGGGUGAGUAACACGUGGGUGAUCUGCCCUGCACUUCGGGAUAAGCCUGGGAAACUGGGUCUAAUACCGGAUAGGACCACUUCUUGGAUGUUGUGGUGGAAAGUUUUUUCGGUGUGGGAUGAGCUCGCGGCCUAUCAGCUUGUUGGUGGGGUAAUGGCCUACCAAGGCGUCGACGGGUAGCCGGCCUGAGAGGGUGUACGGCCACAUUGGGACUGAGAUACGGCCCAGACUCCUACGGGAGGAAGCAGUGGGGAAUAUUGCACAAGGGGCGCAAGCCUGAUGCAGCGACGCCGCGUGGGGGAUGACGGCCUUCGGGUUGGAAACUCCUUUCGCUAGGGACGAAGCGUUUUGUGACGGUACCUGGAGAAGAAGCACCGGCUAACUACGUG